rnacentral:rRNA from 1 species
UACAGAGGUGGCAAGCGUUGUUCGGAAUUACUGGGCGUAAAGGGCGCGUAGGCGGCCUUGUAAGUCCUGUGUGAAAUCCCCCGGCUCAACUGGGGAACUGCACAGGAGACUGCUUGGCUUGAGUUCGGGAGAGGGAAGCGGAAUUCCGGGUGUAGCGGUGAAAUGCGUAGAUAUCCGGAGGAACACCGGUGGCGAAGGCGGCUUCCUGGACCGACACUGACGCUGAGGCGCGAAAGCCAGGGGAGCAAGCGGG